rnacentral:siRNA from 1 species
UACCACGUUACUCGACCCCUGGU